rnacentral:rRNA from 1 species
CACGUAGGGCGCAAGCGUUGUCCGGAAUUAUUGGGCGUAAAGAGCUCGUAGGCGGCUUGUCACGUCGGUUGUGAAAGCCCGGGGCUUAACCCCGGGUCUGCAGUCGAUACGGGCAGGCUAGAGUGUGGUAGGGGAGAUCGGAAUUCCUGGUGUAGCGGUGAAAUGCGCAGAUAUCAGGAGGAACACCGAUGGCGAAGGCAGUGAUCUGGGCCAGUACUGACGCUGAGGAGCGAAAGCGUGGGGAGCAAACAGG